rnacentral:rRNA from 1 species
UACGUAGGGUGCGAGCGUUGUCCGGAAUUACUGGGCGUAAAGAGCUCGUAAGUGGUUUGUCGCGUUGUUCGUGAAAACUCACAGCUUAACUGUGGGCGUGCGGGCGAUACGGGCAGACUGGAGUACUGCAGGGGAGACUGGAAUUCCUGGUGUAGCGGUGAAAUGCGCAGAUAUCAGGAGGAACACCGGUGGCGAAGGCGGGUCUCUGGGCUAUAACUGACGCUCAUGCACGAAAGCGUGGGGAGCAAACAGG